CGCCGAAACAAGAUGUAAAGAAAGAGUUGCAGAAAGAAGUCGUAGUUGAAGCAAAACGCUGAAACAAGACAGAGGCGCUGUUGAGGCAAGACGCCGAAGCCAGACGGAAAGAACGAAAGAGAAACGAGAGUCGCAGUUGAGGCAGCACGCCGACACAAGAGCGAAACCAGACGUAAAGAAGAGUUGCAGAAAGCGUCACAGUUGAGGCAGCCCGCCGAAACAAGACGUAAAGAAGAGAAAAGAGAGGCGCUGUUGAGGCAAAACGCUAAAACAAGACAGAAAGAGAAAAGAGGGGCGCUGUUGAGGCAAAACGCUGAAACCAGAAAGAAAGAGAAAAGAGAGGCGCUGUUGGAGGCAAAACGCCGAAGAAAGACGGAAAGACAGAUAGAGGAACUAACGUAAGCACACGGCUAAAACAUCAAAGGGAAAACCGGCAGGCCGGACGAAAAUGUAGAAAUGGCGAUCAGUGAGUAAAGAGGGUGUUUGAGAAAGAGGGAGACGGAAGCAUAAAGGAGGUACCAGAGUAUAAUAAGGAAGAUAUCAAACAAGGUCGGUCUUUAUUUUAUUUUGUUUGUGUAAAGCUGCUUGAAUAAACGUUCAAGUGAAGGGGCCAGUUUUUGUUUUGUUUGUGUGGCCACUACGCACCCGAGCUACGGCUGGGGCCCCCAACGGAGCGAGUAACAUUUACUGACUGCGUAAAUAAGUCCUGGAAAGUGUGUCGUGGCUUGACCAUACCUGAAUAGAUGCACUAUGAUGAACUUGACCCUGACCCACCAAAUGAUCAGCCAAAUUGGACAGCAUGACAACUUCAUUUGAAUGUAAAAAACAGAAUUUAAAAACAGGCAUCCACUAUUGCAUUUUGUAGCUCCAGAGCAGUGUCUGUCAACACACAGCCAGAUGGUCGCCUAGUGGAGGUGUGUGUGCAGCCAGUGUGUGAAGAUGUGCUGGGGACAACAGCACCAUCACUGCAUGGAGUUGUGCCAUCGGGCAUGGGAGUCAACGUUUGUAAUAUUGUCUGAACCAGA